rnacentral:tRNA from 1 species
GGGCUCGUAGCUCAGCGGAUAGAGCGUCUGCCUCCGGAGCAGAAGGUCGAGGGUUCGAAUCCCUUCGAGCCCACCA